rnacentral:tRNA from 1 species
GGGCCCGUAGCUCAGCAUGGAUCAGAGCGGCGGUGGAUCCAGUCUAAGUCCGCCGAGCCUCCGGAGCCGUAGGACCCGGGUUCAAAUCCCGGCGGGCCCG